rnacentral:rRNA from 1 species
UAUUGAGCCAAUCUAUAUCAUAGAUGUGCCUAUGCUAGAACUAGUAACAAGAAUUUAUCUCUAUGUACAUGUGUACAUCAGAACGAAAAACUCACUGAUAAUUAACGUUAAAAUAAUGCAAACUUAGAAAAAUAUAAAUACUUACGUUAAACCAACACAGGGGUACAAAAGAAAGAUUAAAAAUUUAAAAAGGAACUCGGCAAUCAAAGACUUCGCCUGUUUACCAAAAACAUCACCUCUUGCAUAUUAAGUAUAAGAGGCCCUGCCUGCCCAGUGACAUUAGUUUAACGGCCGCGGUAUC